CGGACGGGUGAGUAACACGUGGAUAACCUACCUAUAAGACUGGGAUAACUUCUGGAAACCGGAGCUAAUACCGGAUAAUAUAUUGAACCGCAUGGUUCAAUAGUGAAAGACGGUUUUGCUGUCACUUAUAGAUGGAUCCGCGCCGCAUUAGCUAGUUGGUAAGGUAACGGCUUACCAAGGCAACGAUGCGUAGCCGACCUGAGAGGGUGAUCGGCCACACUGGAACUGAGACACGGUCCAG
rnacentral:rRNA from 1 species